rnacentral:rRNA from 1 species
AUUGAACGCUGGCGGCAGGCCUAACACAUGCAAGUCGAGCGGGGUUUUCGGACCUAGCGGCGGACGGGUGAGUAAUGCGUAGGAAGCUACCCGAUAGAGGGGGAUACCAGUUGGAAACGACUGUUAAUACCGCAUAAUGUCUACGGACCAAAGUGUGGGACCUUCGGGCCCAAUGCUAUCGGAUGCGCCUACGUGGGAUUAGCUAGUUGGUGGGGUAAUGGCUCACCAAGGCGACGAUCCCUAGCUGGUUUGAGAGGAUGAUCAGCCACACUGGAACUGAGACACGGUCCAGACUCCUACGGGAGGCAGCAGUGGGGAAUAUUGGACAAUGGGCGCAAGCCUGAUCCAGCCAUGCCGCGUGUGUGAAGAAGGCCUUCGGGUUGUAAAGCACUUUCAGCGAGGAGGAAGGGUGGUGUGUUAAUAGCACAUCAUUUUGACGUUACUCGCAGAAGAAGCACCGGCUAACUCUGUGCCAGCCGCCGCGGUAAAAC